UUGUUUUCUUCUUCUUGUUUGCUGCGCACAUGUGAAGGCUCCACAUGGAAGAAAAUUGGCAUUACAUGCAAUUUAGCACAAGGAUUUUUGCCAAUCAUGCAUAUAUCUAUAUAUAUACAUCUGCAAUUCAAUGGCUGCUCCCUCUUCCAAACAUUCUCCUAAGACUAAUCCUCUUCCUUCCCACUUCACAACCUUUUACUAAAACGUUAGUUGGAUCACUUCAAUUACGGGCAUCAAAGCUACGCCACCUUCAGACAGAGAUACAUAGUAAGCUCCAAGUACGGGGCCGCGCCUAAUCCAACUCUCCCAACAACUUUGAUCCUCAUAGCGUCGGAUUUCUCACCAAUAAUGCCCCUCGUUUUAAGGCUCUUCUUGUCUACAUAGAGCAUAGGCCAUUUUGUUUUCUUCGAUCUUCUUGUUUGCGCACAUGUGAAGGCUCCACAUGGCCGGAAAGAAGAAAAUUUGGCCCAGCUGAUUGAAUUGGUCGUUUGGGUUGGAAUGUAUGAUUUGUUGAUAAUAUUAGUUGAUUGUAGAAAGUUGUUUGAUAAAUUGGUUGUUAGCUGAUAGCUAUUUAGUAUAA